rnacentral:rRNA from 1 species
UACGUAGGGUGCAAGCGUUGUCCGGAAUUAUUGGGCGUAAAGAGCUCGUAGGCGGUUCGUCGCGUCGGCUGUGAAAACCUGAGGCUCAACCUCAGGCCUGCAGUCGAUACGGGCGGACUUGAGUUCGGCAGGGGAGACUGGAAUUCCCGGUGUAGCGGUGAAAUGCGCAGAUAUCGGGAGGAACACCGGUGGCGAAGGCGGUUCUCUGGGCCUUACCUGACGCUGAGGAGCGAAAGCGUGGGGAGCGAACAGG